rnacentral:rRNA from 1 species
AUACGGAGGGUGCAAGCGUUAUUCGGAAUCACUGGGCGUAAAGGACGCGUAGGCGGGUUGGCAAGUCAGAUGUGAAAUCCUACAGCUUAACUGUAGAACUGCAUUUGAAACUGCUAACCAGAGUAUGGGAGGGGGAGAUGGAAUUAGUGGUGUAGGGGUAAAAUCCGUAGAUAUCACUAGGAAUACCGAAAGCGAAGGCGAUCUCCUGGAACAUAACUGACGCUAAGGCGUGAAAGCGUGGGGAGCAAACAGGAUUAGAAACCCUAGUAGUCC